rnacentral:misc_RNA from 1 species
CAUGAAUCUGUAGUCGAAAGUCUGAACCUCCUUAGACGUUUCGGACACUGAGAGAAAACAACAACAGUCAUGGCCACAAGGAAGAGUGUAUCGCUCUCGGUCUUUGCAACAUUUCUCCUGCAAUUUGUCGUUCAGGUUUCUGGUGAAUUCCCAAUAUGUGGAGUCCUGAGCAGCCGGCCAAAUGCCACCACCACACUUACCGAGAAACACUGCAUUGUGUACUUCAGUAGCAUAACAACUUUACCUGAUGGUGUGGAGAAUGCAGUUUACUUCCCUGUGUCUGAUGCUCUGGAAUGGAAUGUCUGCAACCUGGAUGAGCCUCCUCCAUCAGGAAUUGAGGACCAUUAUAUCUUCCUUUCCAUGGAGAAUAACUGUUCAGCCUUUGAUCAGGCUAACAGGGUUCAGGAAAUGGGUGGGGCUGGAACCCUCAUGGUCAUGGAGAAACUGAAAUCACAGGAAAUGAAGACAGAUGGCGUUAAUGUCACCUUGGCUUUUGUGGAGAACUCUAGCUAUGUUAAGAUCAUGAAUUCAGGUGAUGAAGUGACUGUGGGACUCUACCUCCCCAAAGAUUCUCCCAUCCAUUUAAGCCUCAUUGUCAUCUGGUUCCUGGCCAUGUUCUCUGUUAUUGUUGGAGCCUAUUGGUCUGGGACUGUCCGGCAUGAAUUAUAUGUAGUACAACAUGAGCGAGAGGAACAGUAUAAUGCUGUCCAAGAGCCAGUGCUGCCCUAUGAAGAAACCUCUAUUAAUAUGACAGUGAAAAGCAUAUUGGGAUUUGUAGUCUUGAUGUGCAUAAUGCUACUGUGUCUCUAUUUCCUCUAUGCUUAUCUAGUGUACAUCAUCAUUGCAAUGUUCUGUCUCGCUUCUGCCAUUGCUACAUACUGCUGUCUUGACCCAUUAGUGUCAAGAAUGCCAUGUGGCACAACCAGAACUCCUUACUUCAACAUAUACAUUGUCCGCGGCACACUGAUGGUUCGCCAGAUCCUGCUUCUGAUGUUUGCUUUUGGACUGUCAAUCACUUGGGUGGUGCUAAGGAAGGAGCCAUGGGCAUGGAUCCUGCAGGAUAUUCUAGGCAUUAUGUUCAGCAUCAAUGUUUUGAAAAUGAUCCGUCUGCCGAGCCUGAAGAUCUGCACUUUCUUAUUGUGUGGCCUUGUGAUCUAUGACAUUUUCUUUGUAUUCAUCACUCCACUUCUUACAUCGGAUGGUAAGAGCAUAAUGGUUGAGGUGGCCAAAGGUGGUCCAAGCCAGGAGCAGAUGCCGAUGGUGCUCAAAGUUCCAAACUUUGACUUCGAGCUCUCCAAGAUAUGCGAUCUGCAGGACAACUACAACCUGCUCGGCUUUGGAGACAUCCUCAUACCUGGGCUCCUUGUGUCUUUCGUGCAUUCCUUCGACCUACAGGCUGGCACACCUUGCCGCCUCUACUUCAUCAUCAAUAUCAUAGGCUACGGCUCGGGGCUGGUGACCACCUUCAUCGCGCUGUGGCUGAUGAGCUUCGCCCAGCCCGCCCUGCUCUACCUCGUGCCCUUCACGCUCAUCCCCACCUUCGUCACCGCCGCCGCCAGAGGGGAGUUCAUGGCCAUGUGGCGAGGCGACUCCGACAAGCAACCUCUUCUGCGUAAAUGUUGCUAGGCCUCCGCCCAGGUUUGGCCUAUCAUUUAUGACCUGACUUGCCCCUUUUCCCCGAGUUCGACUGUGAGGCAGAUGCGGACGCGGUGUCGGUGACGGAGAGCCACAACGCCACCAACGCGGCCGUCGUCACGACGACCCACUCGGCCGACACCGCCAGCCGCCGGACCAACGCCACCAACACCGUAGCACCCACC